UCCCUGGUGGCUCAGCUGGUAAAGAAUCUGCCUGCAAUGCAGGAGACCUGGGUUCAACCCCUGGGUUGGGAA
rnacentral:tRNA from 1 species